AUUGAACGCUGGCGGAAUGCUUUACACAUGCAAGUCGAACGGCAGCACGGGGCAACCUGGUGGCGAGUGGCGAACGGGUGAGUAAUACAUCGGAACGUGCCCAAUCGUGGGGGAUAACGUAGCGAAAGCUACGCUAAUACCGCAUACGAUCUACGGAUGAAAGCGGGGGAUCGCAAGACCUCGCGCGAAUGGAGCGGCCGAUGGCAGAUUAGGUAGUUGGUGGGGUAAAGGCUCACCAAGCCUGCGAUCUGUGGCUGGUCUGAGAGGACGACCAGCCACACUGGAACUGAGACACGGUCCAGACUCCUACGGGAGGCAGCAGUGGGGAAUUUUGGACAAUGGGCGCAAGCCUGAUCCAGCCAUUCCGCGUGCAGGAUGAAGGCCCUCGGGUUGUAAACUGCUUUUGCCAAGGGAUAAAGAGAGGCUAUACGCCUAAAUGAAGGUACUUGGUGAAUAAGCCACGGCUAACUACGUGCCAGCAGCCGCGGUAAU
rnacentral:rRNA from 1 species